AGAGUUUUGAUCCUGGCUCAGGAUAGAACGCUAGCGGCAGGCUUAACACAUGCAAGUCGACGGGGUACUAGGUUUUCGGACCUAGAGACCGGCGCACGGGUGCGUAACGCGUAUGCAAUCUACCUUUCACAGAGGGAUAGCCCAGAGAAAUUUGGAUUAAUACCUCAUAGUAUUAUAGAGUGGCAUCACUUUAUAAUUAAAGUCACAACGGUGAAAGAUGAGCAUGCGUCCCAUUAGCUAGUCGGUAAGGUAACGGCUUACCAAGGCGACGAUGGGUAGGGGUCCUGAGAGGGAGGUCCCCCACACUGGUACUGAGACACGGACCAGACUCCUACGGGGAGGCAGCAGUGAGGAAUAUUGGACAAUGGGCGCAAGCCUGAUCCAGCCGUGCCGCGUGCAGGAUGACGGUCCUAUGGAUUGUAAACUGCUUUUGCACAGGAAGAAACAACAUUACGUGUAAAUGUCUUGACGGUACUGUGAGAAUAAGGAUCGGCUAACUCCGUGCCAGCAGCCGC
rnacentral:rRNA from 1 species